CCUACGGGUGGCAGCAGUGAGGAAUAUUGGUCAAUGGACGGGAGUCUGAACCAGCCAAGUAGCGUGAAGGAUGACUGCCCUAUGGGUUGUAAACUUCUUUUAUAUGGGAAUAAAAUGUUCCACGUGUGGGAUUUUGUAUGUACCAUAUGAAUAAGGAUCGGCUAACUCCGUGCCAGCAGCCGCGGUAAUACGGAGGAUCCGAGCGUUAUCCGGAUUUAUUGGGUUUAAAGGGAGCGUAGGUGGAUUGUUAAGUCAGUUGUGAAAGUUUGCGGCUCAACCGGAAAAUUGCAGUUGAAACUGGCAGUCUUGAGUACAGUAGAGGUGGGCGGAAUUCGUGGUGUAGCGGUGAAAUGCUUAGAUAUCACGAAGAACUCCGAUUGCGAAGGCAGUUCACUGGACUGCAACUGACACUGAGGCUCGAAAGUGUGGGUAUCAAACAGGAUUAGAUACCCGAGUAGUC
rnacentral:rRNA from 1 species